UACGAAGGGAGCUAGCGUUGUUCGGAAUCACUGGGCGUAAAGCGCACGUAGGCGGAUGUGUCAGCCAGGGGUGAAAUCCCGGAGCUCAACUUCGGAACUGCCUCUGAUACAGCACGUCUUGAGUCCGGAAGAGGUGGGUGGAAUUCCUAGUGUAGAGGUGAAAUUCGUAGAUAUCAGGAGGAACACCAGUGGCGAAGGCGGCUUCCUGGACACCAACUGACGCUGAGGCGCGAAAGCGUGGGGAGCAAACAGG
rnacentral:rRNA from 1 species